rnacentral:rRNA from 1 species
GAGUUUGUCCUGGCUCAGAUUGAACGCUGGCGGCAGGCCUAACACAUGCAAGUCGAGCGGUAGAGAGAAGCUUGCUUCUCUUGAGAGCGGCGGACGGGUGAGUAAUGCCUAGGAAUCUGCCUGGUAGUGGGGGAUAACGCUCGGAAACGGACGCUAAUACCGCAUACGUCCUACGGGAGAAAGCAGGGGACCUUCGGGCCUUGCGCUAUCAGAUGAGCCUAGGUCGGAUUAGCUAGUUGGUGAGGUAAUGGCUCACCAAGGCGACGAUCCGUAACUGGUCUGAGAGGAUGAUCAGUCACACUGGAACUGAGACACGGUCCAGACUCCUACGGGAGGCAGCAGUGGGGAAUAUUGGACAAUGGGCGAAAGCCUGAUCCAGCCAUGCCGCGUGUGUGAAGAAGGUCUUCGGAUUGUAAAGCACUUUAAGUUGGGAGGAAGGGCAGUAAAUUAAUACUUUGCUGUUUUGACGUUUACGACAGAAUAAGCACCGGCUAACUCUGUGCCAGCCGCCGACCG